rnacentral:rRNA from 1 species
AGAGUUUGAUCCUGGCUCAGGACGAACGCUGGCGGCGUGCUUAACACAUGCAAGUCACGGGGGCUCGCAAGAGCAACCGGCGAACGGGUGCGUAACACGUGAGCAAUCUGCCGAUUUCUGGGGGAUAGCCGGCCCAACGGCCGGGUAAUACCGCAUACGCUUCUUUGGGGGAGUCCCCAGGGAAGGAAACCUCCGGGGGAAAUCGAGGAGCUCGCGGCCUAUCAGCUAGUUGGCGGGGUAAUGGCCCACCAAGGCGAUGACGGGUAGCUGGUCUGAGAGGAUGGCCAGCCACAUUGGGACUGAGAGACGGCCCAGACUCCUACGGGAGGCAGCAGUGGGGAAUCUUGCGCAAUGGCCGAAAGGCUGACGCAGCAACGCCGCGUGGAGGAUGAAGGCCUUCGGGUCGUAAACUCCUGUCAGGGGGGACGAAACGCCCGGCAACGGGCAUUGACUGUACCCUCUGAGGAAGCCACGGCUAACUCCGUGCCAGCAGCCGCGGU